rnacentral:rRNA from 1 species
GACGAACGCUGGCGGCGUGCCUAGUACAUGCAAGUCGAGCGGAAGUUGAAGAGCUUGCUCUUCAACUUUAGCGGCGGACGGGUGAGUAACACGUGGGCAACCUGCCCUGCAGAUCGGGAUAACUCCGGGAAACCGGUGCUAAUACCGAAUAGUUUUCGCCACCUCCUGGUGGCGUACGGAAAGACGGUUUCGGCUGUCACUGCAGGAUGGGCCCGCGGCGCAUUAGCUAGUUGGUGGGGUAACGGCCCACCAAGGCGACGAUGCGUAGCCGACCUGAGAGGGUGAUCGGCCACACUGGGACUGAGACACGGCACAGACUCCUACGGGAGGCAGCAGUAGGGAAUCUUCCGCAAUGGACGAAAGUCUGACGGAGCAACGCCGCGUGAGUGACGAAGGUUUUCGGAUCGUAAAACUCUGUUGUGAGGGAAGAACAAGUACCACUUAACUACUGGUACCUUGACGGUACCUCACCAGAAAGCCACGGCUAACUACGUGCCAGCAGCAGCCGCCG